rnacentral:rRNA from 1 species
GAACCACGUUAAUUCAAAUUGGCCCGUACCCUAAACCGACACAGGUGGGAAGGUAGAGUAUACCCAGGGGCGCGAGAUAACUCUCUCUAAGGAACUCGGCAAAAUGGCCCCGUAACUUCGGGAGAAGGGGUGCCACCGAGAGGUGGUCGCAGUGAAGAGUCCCAGGCGACUGUUUACCAAAAACACAGGUCUCCGCUAAGUCGCAAGAUGAUGUAUGGGGGCUGACGCCUGCCCAGUGCCGGAAGGUUAAGGAAGUUGGUCAGGGAGCAAUCCUGAAGCUAGCGACUGAAGCCCCGGUGAACGGCGGCCGUAACUAUAACGGUCCUAAGGUAGCGAAAUUCCUUGUCGGGUAAGUUCCGACCCGCACGAAAGGCGUAACGAUCUGGGAGCUGUCUCGGAGAGAGGCUCGGCGAAAUAGGAAUGUCUGUGAAGAUACGGACUACCUGCACCCGGACAGAAAGACCCUAUGAAGCUUUACUGUAGCUUGUAUCGGGUUCGGGCUUUGAUUGCGCAGGAUAGGUGGGAGACUAUGAGAUAGCUCUUGUGGGAGUUAUGGAGUCACUGGUGAGAUACCACUCUAUCAAGGCUAGAAUUCUAACUUUGACCCGUUAUCCGGGCAGAGAACAGUAUCAGGUGGGCAGUUUGACUGGGGCGGUCGCCUCCUAAAUGGUAACGGAGGCGCGCAAAGGUUCCCUCAGGCUGGUUGGAAAUCAGCCAUUGAGUGUAAAGGCAUAAGGGAGCUUGACUGCGAGACUGACAAGUUGAGCAGGUACGAAAGUAGGCCUUAGUGAUCCGACGGUUCCGCGUGGAAGGGCCGUCGCUCAACGGAUAAAAGUUACUCUAAGGAUAACAGGCUGAUCUCCCCCAAGAGUUCACAUCGACGGGGAGGUUUGGCACCUCGAUGUCGGCUCAUCGCAACCUGGGGCUGUAGUCGGUCCCAAGGGUUGGGCUGUUCGCCCAUUAAAGCGGUACGUGAGCUGGGUUCAGAACGUCGUGAGACAGUUCGGUCCAUAUCCGGUGCAGGCGUAGGAACAUUGAGAGGAGUCUUCCUUAGUACGAGAGGACCGGGAAGAACGCACCGCUGGUGUACCUGUUAUCGUGCCAACGGUAAACGCAGGGUAGCCAAGUGCGGAGAGGAUAACCGCUGAAAGCAUCUAAGUGGGAAGCCCACCUCAAGAUGAGUGUUCCCAUGGCAAAAGCCAGUAAGGUCACGGGUAGACCACCCGUUAAUAGGCGCUAGAUGGAAGCCCAGCAAUGGAUGUAGUCGAGGCGUACUAACAGACCGAGGGCUUGAC